CUCUCACUGUCUUUCCACUGAGAGAGCUGAGCUAAGAGCAGAAAGCUGGGCAGCCCUUCAUCUCUCUGAUGGGCCCAUCUCAGAGGACAACCCCAGGAAAUCCGGUGCCUUUCAACUGUACUGCUGGCCCCUUUAGCUCCUGGGACUUCAAUGUCACCUGGAAGAAGGGCAGAGACGAGCAUCCAGCCUCAGCUCAGUACCUGGUGAUUAAUGACAAAGGCAACUAUUCUAUCACCAGUAAGGUAUGGGUGACACUGGCCCGCCAAGAUAUCUUAUUGGGGAUCACCUGUGAAGUCACCUACACGGCGCUGAAAGAGCCUCUGCGAAAGACCAUGAAUCUCUCCCAAGUGCUCCAAGUUGUCCCCACCCUGAAGAUCAGCACCAAGACCUCUAGGACGCACAUCCGCGUGCAUCAGAGAGUGAAUCUCACUUGCCACGUGAGCCACUUCUACCCCUCCCCCCUACGUCUCACCUGGAUGGAGAACAGACGCAAGGUCCAGGAGGUGGAGUACCCACAGGUCACGAGAAACCCAGAUGGGACCUACUCUCUGGAGCACACAUGGCAGGCAGAGGCCACGCUGAAUGGGACUGAGUUUGCUUGCUGGGUGGUCCAGGAUGAGCAACCCCCAGUCCAAGCCAAUAUCACCCUGCAUGCCCAGGCGCCCAGGUUGGGAAAAGGCCAGAGCGCCCACUCUUACUCCUUGCAAGGCCCCCUCCAGCGAUCAGAGCCAGGCACGAACAUCCAGCUGACCUACAUGUCCUUUGGAUUCCCCUCACGUCACGUUACUGUGACCUGGCUUAAGAAGAACCACAAGCUCCCCAAGUGGCAGACCCAUGUCCACCUCAGCGGAGACACGUACAAUGUGACCAGCAGAGUGCUCGUCCCGCUGCAGGCUGAUGACGUGCUCUCCUUUGUCCAGUGCCAUGUCAAUCACAAGUCCACACUACUCUUCCAGAAAACCAUCAGCCUGGACCAGUACCUCCGUGUUUCUCCUACAGUGACAGUGUCUCAGUCUUCACCCUCCUUGGGCUUGGUGGCUAUUACCUGCCACGUGCAGAGAUUCUAUCCACAGAGUGUACAUCUCACCUGGAUAGACAACUGUCAUAUGUUCAAGGGAGCUGAGAAACUCACAUCCAAGCGGAAUGGCGAUGGAACCUACACCAUGGAAAGCUUGCAUUUGGUGAAUGUGUCCAGGCAGGAGUCUGAGCGGGUGCUCACCUGUAAGGUGCAACAUGAGGCACAGCCUCCCAUCCAGGCCAACCUCAUAUUGUCCACAGCAGCCCAUGGCACAUACAAGCCCACUGGAAGCUCAGGUCCAGAGAUGCCUGUCCUUCUCUUUGUGGCUUUCCUUCUGGGCUUCAAGGUACUGCUGGUGAUGAGUUUCAUAGUCACCUACAUCUGCAGGCGACAGAACCUAUAACAGGCUGAAAUCAGAGAGAAGUGAUUGCAGCCCAGACUGAUGGCCUAUGAGCAUGAAGCAUUUACUGUCCGACCUUCUAACAAAAAGUUUGCCAGCGCCUGAGAGAGAAUAUUUAAAAAAACUGUAACAACAAAAUAGCAAGAAGAUAGUUGCAUUUUUAACUGCAUGAAAGAUUUGACCGGGGGUGCCUGGGUGGCUCAGUCAGUUAAGCUUCUGCCUUCAGCUCAGGUCAUGAUCCUAGAGUACUGGGAUCAAGCCCUCCUGUUGGGUUCUCUCUCUGUGGGGAGCCUGCUUCUCCCUCGCCCUCUUCCCCUCUACCCCACUCAUGUUCUCUCUCUUGCUCGCUCUGUUCUCUGUCUCAAGUAAAUAAAUAAAUCUUUUUUUAAAAAAAGAUAUGACCAGAACUCUCCCAACGAACUGAAGAACAUGUACAAGCAGCAAUGAGAGUUUUGCUAAUGCAAAAUGUAUUUUUUUAACUGCUUUGUCUUAAUUAGAAUAGCUUUUUAAUAAGUUUCCAUACCUCUUUGGGGCAAACCUUCCCACCUUGUCCUGUUGCUCAGAACUUCUAUGGCUCUUCUCACCCCAGAUGCAUUUUAGAAUCACUUUGUCAACUUUCAUUAA